rnacentral:rRNA from 1 species
AGCGAACGCUGGCGGCAUGCCUAACACAUGCAAGUCGAACGGGUCCUUCGGGAUUAGUGGCGGACGGGUGAGUAACACGUGGGAACGUGCCCUUUGGUUCGGAACAACUCAGGGAAACUUGAGCUAAUACCGGAUGUGCCCUUCGGGGGAAAGAUUUAUCGCCAUUGGAUCGGCCCGCGCCUGAUUAGCUAGUUGGUGAGGUAAAGGCCCACCAAGGCGACGAUCAGUAGCUGGUCUGAGAGGAUGAUCAGCCACACUGGGACUGAGACACGGCCCAGACUCCUACGGGAGGCAGCAGUGGGGAAUAUUGCGCAAUGGGCGAAAGCCUGGCGCAGCCAUGCCGCGUGAAUGAUGAAGGUCUUAGGAUUGUAAAACUCUUUCAGCGGGGACGAUAAUGACGGUACCGGCAGAAGAAGCUCCGGCUAACUUCGUG